rnacentral:siRNA from 1 species
CGUUGUGACGCCAAUUCUGGAAGC